rnacentral:rRNA from 1 species
GACGAACGCUGGCGGCGUGCUUAACACAUGCAAGUCGAACGGUAAGGCCCUUCGGGGUACACGAGUGGCGAACGGGUGAGUAACACGUGGGUGAUCUGCCCUGCACUUCGGGAUAAGCCUGGGAAACUGGGUCUAAUACCGGAUAGGACUCCUGGCUUCAUGGUUGGGGGUGGAAAGCUUUUGCGGUGUGGGAUGGGACGGCGGCCUAUCAGCGUGUUGGUGGGGGAAUGGUCUACCAAGGCGACGACGGGUAGCCGGCCUGAGAGGGUGACCGGUCACACUGGGAGUGGUAUACAGCCCAGACUCCUACGGGAGGCAGCAGUGGGGAAUAUUGCACAAUGGGCGCAAGCCCGAUGCAGCGACGCCGCGUGAGGGAUGACGGCCUUCGGGUUGUAAACCUCUUUCAGCUAUGACGAAGCGCAAGUGACGGUAGUAGCAGAAGAAGGACCGGCCAACUACGUGCCAGCCGCCGCGGUAA